AAGUGUUACAGCUCUUUUAGAAUUUGUCUAGCAGGUUUUCUGGUUUUUCACCAGAAACUACUCCC